ensembl:snRNA U6 U6 spliceosomal RNA
GUGCUUGCUUCGGAGCACAUAUACUAAAAUUGGAAUGAUACAGAGAAGAUUAGCAUGGCCCCUGCACAAGGAUGACACGCAAAUUCAUGAAGCGUUCCAUAAAAAA